CCAAAAAAACAACAAAAAU
rnacentral:sRNA from 1 species